UUCUUUGCUGUUAACUUGCCUGCUGUGCCUAGGAAUUAAGAGUCCGUAGGAUACCAAAUUUUCAUCAGACUUUUUUGAUGCAUCUGCUUGGGAUGUAUAAAGACAACUGGAGAUGUUAAGAAUGCUGUGUUUGAAUUUAAUUUUUCUUAGUUUUGUGUGUUUUCUCUUAGAAUUUGUGUCUUAAGGUGGUUAAAGACAGUGAUGGGCUCUUGAUUUAUUGGAAUAGGUUAUAUGAAGAUACUGGUUUAGUAUUAUGAAAUGUCCUAUGGGUUGAAUAUAGAAAUGCACAAGCAGGCAGAGAUUGUCAAGAGGCUGAAUGCUAUCUGUGCGCAAGUCAUUCCUUUCCUGUCCCAAGAGCAGCAACAACUCCAGGCCCAGCAUUUAUCACAUGGACAUGGUCUCCCCGUACCUCUGACUCCACACCCUUCAGGGCUCCAGCCCCCUGCCAUUCCACCCAUCGGUAGCAGUGCU
rnacentral:sRNA from 1 species